GUCCACAUUGCCUCUUUUUGACCCAAUCCUGGUUGGAGAGGGUUACAGACACUUAGCUCUCAUUGGGGAAGAUGGAUGUCACAGGGAGAGAAAGCUGCCUCUCUUAGCUGCAGGAACAGCUGUUGCCAGGUGUGACGGGGGACUGGUAAGCUGCCGCCUGCACCUCAGAAGAUCCCGCGUUAGAACCGGAGUGGGAAACCUUUCCGUAGGCUGUUCAGGUCAUGAUGUUUGGAGAGCUUUCUUACGAAAGACAUUAUGUAUCUUGUGAGUUAUUACCAUUGAAGGUACUUAUUUUUUA